GACGAACGCUGGCGGCGUGCCUAAUACAUGCAAGUCGAGCGGAACUGGGGGAGCUUGCUCCUUCCAGUUUAGCGGCGGACGGGUGAGUAACACGUGGGCAACCUGCCCUGCAGAUCGGGAUAACUCCGGGAAACCGGUGCUAAUACCGAAUAGUUUGGCGCCUCUCCUGAGGCGCUACGGAAAGACGGUUUCGCCUGUCCCUCCAGGAUGGGCCCGGGGCGCCUUAGCCAGUUGGUGGGGUAACGGCCCACCAAGGCGACGAUGCGUAGCCGACCUGAGAGGGUGACCGGCCACACUGGGACUGAGACACGGCCCAGACUCCUACGGGAGGCAGCAGUAGGGAAUCUUCCGCAAUGGACGCAAGUCUGACAGAGCAACGCCGCGUGAGUGACGAAGGUUUUCGGAUCGUAAAACUCUGUUGUGAGGGAAGAACACGUACCAACUAACUAUUGGUACCUUGACGGUACCUCACCAGAAAGCCACGGCUAACUACGUGCCAGCAGCCGCAGUAA
rnacentral:rRNA from 1 species